rnacentral:rRNA from 1 species
UUCCCUUCGGGGACCUAGUGACAGGUGCUGCAUGGCUGUCGUCAGCUCGUGUCGUGAGAUGUUGGGUUAAGUCCCGCAACGAGCGCAACCCUUGUCAUUAGUUGCUACAUUCAGUUGGGCACUCUAAUGAGACUGCCGGUGACAAGCCGGAGGAAGUGGGGAUGACGUCAAGUCCUCAUGGCCCUUAUAGGUGGGGCUACACACGUCAUACAAUGGCUGGUACAAAGGGUUGCCAACCCGCGAGGGGGAGCCAAUCCCAUAAAGCCAGUCGUAGUCCGGAUCGUAGUCUGCAACUCGACUACGUGAAGUCGGAAUCGCUAGUAAUCGUGGAUCAGAAUGUCACGGUGAAUACGUUCCCGGGUCUU